GUGUUCCGCUAAUUCAGCAAUCUAAUGAAUCUGUCUUAAUUUUUCUGAAAUCGUGCUUAAUUAUUAUUAGCUAAUCGGCGCUACACCGUUGUUCAAAUACUUAUAAUUGCAAGAAACCCCCGACUAGGACCAGCAGUCAUUGAUGUUAGCAUGUACUACACAAAGAAAAACAGGCAAAGCAUGAAGCCAAAGGAAAUGUUUUUACCAAGGCAUGUUCCUCAAUAGCGGAGAGAGUUUUAUCCAGUGUCGGUUCUGCAGAAGAACCCAUUCAUAGCAGACCACCCAUUGCAGCACUUGUAAGGUCGCUAUAAAGAACCCGACAGACUCUGCGACCAAAAGAUCCCACUGACGUGUCGUCAAGCCUUGACGAAGAUUUCAUCGAUCAUAGUGCACCGGGAUUUUAUCAAAAAAGAGUAAAAGUUGGGGAAAGGCGCCAUCACAUUUUUUGUACUGAUAGACAGAUGCAACUACUCGCACGCGCAAAAACUUGGUAUAUGGAUGCAACUUUUCGGGUGGUGAACAAGCCAUGGUCUCAGCUGUUUUCCAUCCACGCCUUCAUUAAGACUGGAGAGACCACCCGACAGUUACCAUUGGUGUUUUGUGUCAUGUCGGGUAAAAG